rnacentral:rRNA from 1 species
UACGUAGGGGCCUAGCGUUGUCCGGAUUUAUUGGGCGUAAAGAGCUCGUAGGCGGUCUGUUGCGUCCGCUGUGAAAACCCGGGGCUUAACCCUGGGCUGGCAGUGGAUACGGACAGACUAGAGGUAGGUAGGGGAGAAUGGAAUUCCCGGUGUAGCGGUGAAAUGCGCAGAUAUCGGGAGGAACACCGGUGGCGAAGGCGGUUCUCUGGGCCGAUACUGACGCUGAGGAGCGAAAGCGUGGGGAGCGAACAGG